rnacentral:tRNA from 1 species
UAGCUCAGUUGGUAGAGCACCUGACUAGAGUUUCAGGGGGCCCGGGUUUGAAUCCCGG